ACUUCAAUUGACAUACCCAUCGCUUGCCUGAGGUUAGGAGAACAAGAGUAACUGAACUUUCUCCAAGAUGUCCUGCCAGCAAAACCAGCAGAAGAGCCAGCUCCCUGCCAAGUUCUUCCCCAAAUGUCCACCCAAGUGCCCUGCUCAGGCCCCUCAAGCCCCUGCUCCCUGCUCCCCUCCCGACCCCUCCUGCUAUGCCCCCAGUUGCUGUAUUUCUGGCUUUGGAGGCUGCUCCUGUCUGGUGUCUCAUCGGUUUCCACGCAUCUGCCUAUGCCAGCCCCAGCCUUCCGACUGCUGCCUGAGAGAAUCCUCUGGAUGCUCCAGUUGUUGCCAUGGCCUUGGGGGUUGCAGCUUUUGAGGAACCAAAGAUCCACAGCCAAGGACCAGCCUAGAAUGGACGUCUUUCCUCACUCUAACCCUUGUCCUCCCCUCUCCUCCUGAACUAAGCUGCCUAGAUGUGUAGACGGUGGAUUCCUCUUUUUGCUGAGAACCUCAGACCUCAUGGCCUUGGCUCUUAUCCUACAUCAGGGAUACCUGAAUACUACAGAAAACUCUGCUUCCCAAAGCCUAUCAAUGUGAAAAAAUAAAGCUUGUUUUUCCUGCUACCCUGAA